rnacentral:rRNA from 1 species
GCAUAUCAUAGCGGAGGAAAAGAACCUACCAGAAUACCCCUAGUAACGGCGAGUGAAGCGGGAUGAGCUCAAAUUUGAAAUCUGGCUGGUUUACUAGUCCGAGUUGUAAUUUAAAGAAGCGUUUUCGGUGGCAGCCUGGGUAUAAAUCCUUUGGAAUAGGGUAUCAUAGAGGGUGAGAAUCCCGUCUUUGACCUAGUGCAUGCUACUAUGUGAUACGUUUUCAAAGAGUCGAGUUGUUUGGGAAUGCAGCUCAAAAUGGGUGGUAAAUUUCAUCUAAAGCUAAAUAUUGGCGAGAGACCGAUAGCGAACAAGUACCGUGAGGGAAAGAUGAAAAGAACUUUGAAAAGAGAGUUAAACAGUGCGUGAAAUUGUUGAAAGGGAAACGUUUGACACCAGUCAUGUGGGUGGAAAAUCAGUCUUUUGCAUUGGGGAGUUGUAAAGGUUCGGACCGCAAGGCCGGCUUUUGCUUCAUCUUUGGUGUAAGGGAUGCACUUUUUCAUCUGCAGGUCAACAUCAGUUUCUUUUGCUGGACAAAACUCCGAGAGAAGGUAGCAGCUUAGGCUGUGUUAUAGCUCUGGAGCGAUACAGUGAAGGGGACUGAGGUUUUCGCAGCGUGUGCUCUCGGGCAAGGCUGGAUGGGUGCUAUGGGAUCGUUCGGGGUACAAUGCCUGGCAUUUUGCUUCGUGUCUUUUCUAUACUCGCUCAACUCAGCUCUUCCACGCUUAGGAUGUUGACUUAAUGGUUUUAAACGACCCGUCUUGAAACACGGACCAAGGAGUCUAACAUAUAUGCAAGUGUUUGGGUGGCAAACCCAUGCGCGUAAUGAAAGUGAACGUAGGUGCGAUCCGCAAGGUGCAGCAUCGACCGAUCUUGAUAUUUUUGGAUAGAUUUGAGUAAGAGCAUAUAUGCUGGGACCCGAAAGAUGGUGAACUAUGCCUGAAUAGGGUGAAGCCAGAGGAAACUCUGGUGGAGGCUCGUAGCGAUUCUGACGUGCAAUUCGAUCGUCAAUUGGGUAUAGGGCGAAAGACUAAUCGAACCAUCUAGUAGCCUUGAU